rnacentral:rRNA from 1 species
AUUGAACGCUGGCGGCAUGCCUUACACAUGCAAGUCGAACGGCAGCACGGGGGCAACCCUGGUGGCGAGUGGCGAACGGGUGAGUAAUAUAUCGGAACGUGCCCUGGGGUGGGGGAUAACUAGUCGAAAGAUUAGCUAAUACCGCAUACGAUCUACGGAUGAAAGUGGGGGAUCGCAAGACCUCAUGCUCGUGGAGCGGCCGAUAUCUGAUUAGCUAGUUGGUGGGGUAAAAGCCUACCAAGGCGACUAUCAGUAGCUUGGUCUGAGAGGACGACCAGCCACACUGGGACUGAGACACGGCCCAUACUCCUACGGGAGGCAGCAUUGGGGAAUUUUGGACAAUGGGGGCAACCCUGAUCCAGCAAUGCCACGUGUGUGAAGAAGGCCUUCUGUUGAAAAGCACUUUUGUCAUGAACGAAACCGCGGGGGCUAAUAUCCUCUGCUAAUGACCGUACCUGAAGAAUAAGCACCGGGCUACUUACGUGCCAGCAGCCGCGGUAAUACGUAGGGUGCAAGCGUUAAUCGGAAUUACUGGGCGUAAAGCGUGCGCAGGCGGUUUGGUAAGACAGAUGUGAAAUCCCCGGGCUUAACCUGGGAAUUGCAUUUGUGACUGCCCGGCUAGAGUGUGUCAGAGGGGGGUAGAAUUCCACGUGUAGCAGUGAAAUGCGUAGAUAUGUGGAGGAAUACCGAUGGCGAAGGCAGCCCCCUGGGAUAACACUGACGCUCAUGCACGAAAGCGUGGGGAGCAAACAGGAUUAGAUACCCUGGUAGUCCACGCCCUAAACGAUGUCUACUAGUUGUCGGGGGAUUCGACCCCUUCGGUAUCGACGCUAACGCAUUAAGUAACCCACCUGGGGAGUACGCUCGCAAGGGUGAAACUCAAAGGAAUUGACGGGGGCCCGCACAAGCGGUGGAGCAUGUGGUUUAAUUCGAUGCAACGCGAAGAACCUUACCUGGGCUCGAAGUGCCGUGUAAACUCAUGAAAGUGAGGUACUCCCGCAAGGGAGGCGCGGUAUAGGUGCUGCAUGGCUGUCGUCAGCUCGUGUCGUGAGAUGUUAGGUUAAGUCCYGCAACGAGCGCAACCCUUGUCCUUAGUUGCUAACAGGUUAUGCUGAGAACUCUAAGGAGACUGCCGACGUUAAGUCGGAGGAAGGUGGGGAUGACGUCAAGUCCUCAUGGCCCUUACGUCCAGGGCUACACACGUGCUACAAUGGCCGGUACAGAGCGUCGCAAGACCGCGAGGUGGAGCUAAUCGCAAAAAACCGGUCUCAGUUCAAAUUGCACUCUGCAACUCGAGUGCAUGAAGUCGGAAUCGCUAGUAAACGCGGAUCAGCAGGUCGCGUUGAAUACGUUCCCGGGCCUUGUACACACCGCCCGUCACACCAUGGGAGUCGGAAGGACCCAAAGGGCCGAGCCAACCGUAAGGGGGCAAGGCCUCAAGGUCAAGGCCGAUGACUGGGGUG